rnacentral:rRNA from 1 species
UACGUAGGGUGCGAGCGUUAAUCGGAAUUACUGGGCGUAAAGCGUGCGCAGGCGGUCUGUUAAGACCGAUGUGAAAUCCCCGGGCCUUAACCUGGGAACUGCAUUGGUGACUGGCAGGCUUUGAGUGUGGCAGAGGGAGGUAGAAUUCCACGUGUAGCAGUGAAAUGCGUAGAGAUGUGGAGGAAUACCGAUGCGAAGGCAGCCUCCUGGGCCAACACUGACGCUCAUGCACGAAAGCGUGGGGAGCAAACAGG